rnacentral:rRNA from 1 species
GUGGCAGCCGCCGCGGUAAAACCAGCACCUCAAGUUGUCAGGAGGAUUAUUGGGCCUAAAGCAUCCGUAGCCUGCUCUGUAAGUUUCCGGUUAAAUCCAUUUGCUCAACAAAUGGGCUGCCGGAAAAACUGUAAAGCUAGGAAGUGGGAGAGGUAGACGGUACUCGGUAGGAAGGGGUAAAAUCCUUUGAUCUAUUGAUGACCACCUGUGGCGAAGGCGGUCUACCAGAACACGUUCGACGGUGAGGGAUGAAAGCUGGGGGAGCAAACCGGAUUAGAUACCCGGGUAGUCCCAGCUGUAAACGAUGCAGACUCGGUGAUGCGCUGGCUUGUGGCCAGUGCAGUGCCGCAGGGAAGCCGUUAAGUUUGCCGCCUGGGAAGUACGUACGCAAGUAUGAAACUUAAAGGAAUUGGCGGGGGAGCACCACAAGGGGUGAAGCCUGCGGUUCAAUUGGAGUCAACGCCAGAAAUCUUACCCGGAGAGACAGCAGAAUGAAGGUCAAGCUGAAGACUUUACCAGACAAGCUGAGAGGUGGUGCAUGGCCGUCGCCAGCUCGUGCCGUGAGAUGUCCUGUUAAGUCAGGUAACGAGCGAGAUCCCUGCCUCUAGUUGCCACCAUUACUCUCAGGAGUAGUGGGGCGAAUUAGCGGGACCGCCACAGUUAAUGUGGAGGAAGGAAGGGGCCACGGCAGGUCAGUAUGCCCCGAAACUCUGGGGCCACACGCGGGCUGCAAUGGUAGUGACAAUGAGUUCCGAAACCGAAAGGUGGAGGUAAUCUUCAAACGCUACCACAGUUAUGAUUGAGGGCUGCAACUCGCCCUCAUGAAUAUGGAAUCCCUAGUAACUGCGUGUCAUUACCGCGCGGUGAAUACGUCCCUGCUCCUUGCACACACCGCCCGUC